GAUUGAUGCGUGUGUGCGUAACCACUCAGUCCACUGUGUUGCUGUGUAGUUUACAUAGACAGAAAGAUUUCUUUUGAAACAAAUAGAAUCUUCAUCUAAAUAUGAUUUAGACUUUUCAAAAUAUUCAUCAUGGAUUAAAACUCUAGAUCUACAAUGGUGAACAAAUGUCUCGUUUUGUAAAGGAUCUAGAUCUAGCACUACUAGCAGAUAUGCUUUCCGAUUACCAAAAGAUGAUGAAUGGUGGCUUAGAAAGAAAAAAUGGCCAGCGGUAAUACCUUUGGCUUAGUAGAAGGAUUAGAUCUACGUACCAUUAAAGGAGUACUCUAAAAUCUGCCAUUAACAUUUUCAAGACGAAGUAUCAUGGACAGUAUUGAAGGAUUACAUACUAUAAAGGAAUACUCUAAAAUCUCCCGUUAACAUUUUGAAGAUGAUGAAGUAUUGUGGACUAGCUACUACACAUGAAAGAGUAGAGAGUGCAUUAAAAAAAGUGUUAAGUCUCAGGAAGUCGCAGGAUGGCUGCCUGGUCUUGUGGUUUGCGCGCUGGACUGUCGUUUGGAUUUAUCGAUGUCUCUGGUUCAAACCCUGCCCGCUCCCAUCCCCUGUCGUCAA